CUGGGGCCUCUUCUCUGAGGGAAGUGAAAGGAGGGAGUUUGCUGUGGAGCCCUGUUUCUGUGGGAUCCCUGAUGUGCACAGUGAAUUUGCUGUGAAAGCAAACCAAGUCUUUUUCAGGUCUAAAAAUCUGUGGAGUUUAUGACAUCCUUCUCACUUUGAGCCAUACUCUGCACUUCUGGCCACAGCUCCUUCAAGCUGUGGAGCAAUGUAUCAGAGGGGCCAUAGCUGCAGGGAUCAAUUUCGGGAGCAUAUUUUAUUGUUACUGAACUAAAUCUUUGGGAAUGGGAGCUUCAGUGCAGGCAACAUUUCUUAAUGGCCACCCAGCAUGCCCAAAAGAAGCCAUUUUAUGUCCAUUGCCUCCCAGGACCUUGUCUGAAGAAGGACAAGGGAAGAUGCAGAGACUACGAUGCUCUGAGCAAAGAGGCGAGACACUGCUCAUCCAGAUCAUACUUGGAGUUUGUGGUUCUGACUUUCUGGAGUGCUUGCUGUGAAACUCACUUUGCAUGGGGUGAUAAAUUUCCCACUGACUUUGCAGUGGUUGUUCUGAAAAGUAUGUCUCAUGCAAACAGAAAUGUAGUGCAAAUCUUCCGUUCUUGAACUGGUGGCUGCAACCCUGCUCCGGAGCUGAUCAUUCCCUCUACAGAACCAGCUGCAAUGCUAGCAGUGCAAGUGCCUAUAUAAUAUGCCUCUCUUAAACAGUUAUGGCUUUCCUCUCUUUUAUCCAACCUCUUCUUUUCCUUGAGAACAUAUUUCACCCAUGUUGGCAAUGCUAGUAACUCUGAAGGGGACAUGUUCUUUUAUAUUUCAGAAGCUUUCACAUUGUGCAGAUACUGAAGAGUCCUGAAGCUAUAAAAGUUAUAUAUAAGGGAAAUUCUGGUAACAUUAUUAAUGCCUGUCAUUUUCAAGAUAAAAGCAUUUCCCCAGUCU